UUCUACCUUUUCUUUCAUGAGCCUGGGAGCAGGACUAAACUAUUUGAGACCAGGAGACAGUUUCUAGGUGCUGAUGGUGAUCCCCACAAGCCCUGGGAGUUGGAGCCAGGAUCCUAGGGUUUUUUGAGACUCCGUUUGGACUUCCCACAAAGGGCGGAGAAUUCCUUCGCCUGCAUUGUAACUGUGGUAGCUGUUUAAAGAUGGCAGCAGACACGUGUACUGACUAGGUAAGCCAAGACUGGAUUCUUCCCUGAAUGCAUGUGACCAAACAGCAAUCAGGAGAGAUGGACUUGUUGAGCCUGGUGGCUACUUUUGGGGUCCAAGAGUACCUGGAAUCCCCCAACUGGUGCUUCCUGAAACCGCAACUCUCCCGAGGACAUGACUUACCAACAGGAGAAUAAAAGAAGCAUGCCAGGCUGAUAAGAAGAUAGGU